CAAAACUUUCAACAACGGAUCUCUUGGUUCCCGCAUCGAUGAAGAACGCAGCGAAACGCGAUAGUUAAUGUGAAUUGCAGAAUUCAGUGAAUCAUCGAGUCUUUGAACGCACAUUGCGCCCAUUGGUAUUCCUUUGGGCAUGUCUGUUUGAGCGUCAUUACAACCCUCAGCUACCCGCUGGUUUUGAACCCGAACGGUACCCCCCUUUAACCGGGGGAACCGAGCCGGUUUUAAAGUUGUAAGCUCUGCUGG
rnacentral:rRNA from 1 species